CCUACGGGAGGCAGCAGUGAGGAAUAUUGGUCAAUGGGCGAGAGCCUGAACCAGCCAAGUCGCGUGAAGGAUGACGGCCCUACGGGUUGUAAACUUCUUUUGUCAGGGAGCAAUUGGGUCCACGCGUGGGCUUAGCUAGAGUACCUGAAGAAAAAGCAUCGCCUAACUCCGUGCCAGCAGCCGCGGUACUACGGAGGAUGCGGGGGUUAUCCGGAUUUAUUGGGUUUAAGGGGGGCGUAGGCGGAGUAUAAAGUCAGCGGUAAAGAUUCGGGACUCAACCCCGUCGUGCCGUUGAAACUGAUGGUCUUGAGUGGGCGAGAGGUAUGCGGAAUGCGUGGUGUAGCGGUGAAAUGCAUAGAUAUCACGCAGAACUCCGAUUGCGAAGGCAGCAUACCGGCGCCCAACUGACGCUGAGGCACGAAAGCGUGGGUAUCGAACAGGAUUAGAUACCCCUGUAGUC
rnacentral:rRNA from 1 species